AUGAACGCUGGCGGCGUGCCUCAUACAUGCCAGUCGAGCGCACGGACGAGAAGCUUGCUUCUCUGAUGUUAGCGGCGGACGGGUGAGUAACACGUGGAUAACCUACCUAUAAGACUGGGAUAACUUCGGGAAACCGGAGCUAAUACCGGAUGAUAUUUUGAACCGCAUGGUUCAAAAGUGAAAGACGGUCUUGCUGUCACUUAUAGAUGGAUCCGCGCUGCAUUAGCUAGUUGGUAAGGUAACGGCUUACCAAGGCAACGAUGCAUAGCCGACCUGAGAGGGUGAUCGGCCACACUGGAACUGAGACACGGUCCAGACUCCUACGGGAGGCAGCAGUAGGGAAUCUUCCGCAAUGGGCGAAAGCCUGACGGAGCAACGCCGCGUGAGUGAUGAAGGUCUUCGGAUCGUAAAACUCUGUUAUUAGGGAAGAACAUAUGUGUAAGUAACUGUGCACAUCUUGACGGUACCUAAGCAGAAAGCCACGGCUAACUACGU
rnacentral:rRNA from 1 species